rnacentral:rRNA from 1 species
CCUACGGGUGGCAGCAGUGGGGGAUAUUGGACAAUGGGGGGAACCCUGAUCCAGCGACGCCACGUGAGUGAAGAAGUAUUUCGGGAUGUAAAGCUCUGUUAGCAGGGAAGAAAGAAAUGACGGUACCUGACCAAGAAGCCCCGGCUAACUACGUGCCAGCAGCCGCGGGAAUACGUAGGGGGCAAGCGUUAUCCGGAAUUACUGGGUGUAAAGGGAGCGUAGAGGGUUAAGUAAGUCUGGAGUGAAAGUCCGGGGCCCAACCCCGGGACUGCCCUGGAAACUGUUGUACUUGAGUGCAGGGGAGGUAAGCGGAAUUCCUAGUGUAGCGGUGAAAUGCGUAGAUAUUAGGAGGAACACCAGUGGCGAAGGCGGCUUACUGGACUGUAACUGACGUUGAGGCUCGAAAGCGUGGGGAGCAAACAGGAUUAGAUACCCUUGUAGUC